AGCAGCCGCGGUAAUUCCAGCUCCAAUAGCGUAUAUUAAAGUUGCUGCAGUUAAAAAGCUCGUAGUUGAAUUUCGGGAUCAAUAUGUUGGUCGUGCCUCGGUACGUACUAGCUUAUUGGUUUCUUCCUUCUGACGAACCAUAAUGUCAUUUAUUUGGUGUUAUGGGGAAUCAGGACUGUUACUUUGAAAAAUUAGAGUGUUUAAAGCAGGCUCACGCUUGAAUACAUUAGCAUGGAAUAAUGAAAUAGGACGUUUGAUUCUAUUUUGUUGGUUUCUAGGAUCGACGUAAUGAUUAAUAGGGAUAGUUGGGGGCAUUAGUAUUCAAUUGUCAGAGGUGAAAUUCUUGGAUUUAUUGAAGACUAACUACUGCGAAAGCAUUUGCCAAGGAUGUUUUCAUUAAUCAAGAACGAAAGUUAGGGGAUCGAAGACGAUCAGAUACCGUCGUAGUCUUAACCAUAAACUAUGCCGACUAGGGAUCGGAUGAUGUUAAUUUUUAAUGACUCAUUCGGCGCCUUACGGG
rnacentral:sRNA from 1 species